CUCUAGAAUAGUGGAUCCCCCGGGCUGCAGCCCAAUGUGGAAUUCGCCCUUGAACGGCGCGCGCGGCGGGCGGGGCGGGGGCACGGGGGGCCUACGGGAGGCAGCAGUGGGGAAUAUUGCACAAUGGGCGCAAGCCUGAUGCAGCGACGCCGCGUGAGGGAUGGAGGCCUUCGGGUUGUAAACCUCUUUUGUUUGGG
rnacentral:rRNA from 1 species